CCAAAUGCCAUACUUACAUUUGUACUAUUGGUUGCUACAAGAGAUCAGGUAGAUGUUUGAGAGCUGUGCUGCUGCCACCAUGAAAUAUACUGCUAUGAGUGGACUGUGCUUCCACAUAAGGCUAUGGUGACAUCUGGACCCAUGCUGCUACAAGGAUGUAUCUAGAGAACUGGGUUUGUUUCCUAGAACUAACAUGGAACUUUACAACUAUAUGUGAACUACAGUCCCAGAAGAUCCAACACCUUCUCUGACCCUCCACAGAUCCUACUUUAUGGAGAUUAUAUUGCAAUUAUUUACAAAAGCUUAAUUGAGUCAUCAGCGGAUACACAGUUGAAGUCAAUGUCCAUCCUUCUCACAGAUGAUUCAACAAUAGGCUUCUAGCAUAAUUGUCCUCUGAGAAGUCACACUCAGCUGCAGACUGAAACAGAUACAGGAAAAACAACCGAACAUUGAAUGAAGCUUUUGUUUUCUUAUGGAAAUAUUG
rnacentral:lncRNA from 1 species